CAAAGAUGGAAAUCUGGUAGAGCUAAAGCGCGUACAGAGGGAACUCAAGGUACGUCUUAAAGAGGCCAAGGAGUCUUACAGGAAAAAGGUGGAAAGAAAGCUGCAAGAUAACAACAUGAAGGAGGUCUGGGGUGCUAUGAAAACCAUCACUGGGUGCAAGAACAACAACGGCAAUCCAGUAGAUGGGGUGUGGACAGAGCAAACCAGUUUAACAACUUUUACAACAGGUUUGAAUGUCCUCCUGCUGCCCCCUCCUCCUACCCUCCUGCAUCAUCACCAUCAUCUCCACCACCAUCACCUCCAACUCCACCAUCACCCUCACCUCCAUCUUCAUCACCACCACCACUCUCUCCUCCAUCAUCAUCUUCAUCAGCACCAUCCUCCUCACUUCCUCCAUCUUCAUCUUCAUCACCACUACCAUCACCCCCACCUCCACCAUCUUCAUCAGCACCAACACCACCCUCACCUCCACCAUCUUCAUCAUCAACACUAUCAGCUGGCAGACAAAUCAGCUCCACCAGUCCACCAAACUUUACUGCAGACGAAGUAAGGAGACAGCUGAGGAGACUUCACCCCAGGAAGGCAGCUGGCCCGGACAGAGUGUCCCCCAGAAAGUGAACCAAGAAACUGCAACAAGUUUUUUUUUCAAGUUCUUGCCACCAUCUACAGGGAUGAGAGAGAAUAUUCAAGGAAGAUCUAUGAUGUUGGCAACACUGAGCAUCUUAUUGAAACAGCAUCGGCAGAACAACUUGGAUAUGUUGAGCACUUUUAUGAUCCAGAUUCUCAUUCUGGAUUUUUGUAAAUGAGACUGCGCAACAUUCGUCGAAAGCUAGAAGAUGGUCAGCGGCGUUAUAGGUCACACAAACGACGCUGUGAAGAUGGUCCUAAUCCGGACAAGGAGGAGGAAGAUGGUAGUGGGACAAGUGAGUGGAUCAACUUGAUGAAAAGGCUCAGGCCUUCUACAGACAACAUUUCAUCGAUCAAAGCAGCAAUGCAGAAAACCUUCACCUGGCGCAGAUCAUGGAUAGCCAAACAUUCCCCCUCCCUGUCUGAAAUCUUUGAGGAAUACCUACGCUUCUUGGAUAUGCCAACUCUGCUUGAUACAGAGUUUGGUAAAAUGUUUGAGGGAAAAGGAGAUUUGUUCUUAAGAAGAUGGGAGGCUACCAUCAUUCCCAAGUUGAAGGCAAUUGCCAUCAUGGAGACAGGUGAUCUUGCAUCUCUUAAGGACAUGGAAAACCAGAAUGAAGGUAUAUAUUUUCAAAUAUAACUCUCAUUAGAUUUCACAUAUAAUGCUACAGCCUCUGUGUAAUCUUAUUUUAUUUGUGUCUGUGUCUCAUUUUCAGAUGAGAAGUGUUACACUAUGCUUGUAGUCCUUACACAUCUUCUGCCACCAGUCGCAAUGAGUCGAUGUUGAGUGAAGUUUGCAUUAACAUUCCUUGUUGAUUUUGUUCCAGUAAGUCCAUCUAUCGAUUUGUCUGUCUAUCUAGAAUAAUUUUAUUAUAAGAUACAUUUUGCCUUUUUUAGUAAACAAAUAAAUCAUAAAGGACAUUGAAGGUGGCUGAUUUAGUUUAAUCAAGUGUGAAAGUAUGUAAUUGU